UUAUUUAUAGAUUCUUUAGAAGAACAAUUUAAAUUAAACUAUUUAUAGAAAGGUUAAGCUUUUCUAUUUAUUUAACCAUUCUGAUAUCUUUAUUUAACCAUUCUAAUACACAAUAAUUCAAAAAAGUAUUUUUGGAUUAAAAAAAUUUCGAAAGCGACAACAAAUUCAGGUACUCAGUAUAACUAAUUGUUAUUAUAAUUAUGUGCUAUCAAGAUAUGAUAGGCUCGUACUCUAGUUAUUUAGGUAUACAUACAAGGAUACUAAAAGACUGAGUUCCCUUGACACUCUUUUUAUAUUAUUUUCAAUGUAGCUUUUCAUUACUACUUGGCUGUUUGGUCUUUAUUAGAAGGAUAUUUCGCACACCUAGAUCUAAAGAGAGUGAAGUCAAAAAUAUGUGUAAUUGAGUUAAGCUCACCAUUUCAUUUCCGCUAUGGAUACCUAUCGAUCAAUAAAAGAGAUUUAAAAAUAAGUGCAAAACUCAACCCUAGAGGGCGCCUAGAAUCCCUUUUGUUGAACGAGCGAGCCAGGUCCCUCCGCACGUAAACGGGAACAAAGCUAGUUGCAAUCAAAAUUACAAGCGGAGUGCACGUGUCCUGCGUAAAAAGUUUGGAGUUAUUUUGAGUUAAACCUGUUUAGUUGAAAUUUGAAGCAUUAUUAUUUUGAGUUGUCACCGUCUAGAUGGUUAAUGGUAAUUAAAAGGAUACAACAAAUACAACAUUUUGAGUUCACCCUGUAUUGCUGGCAAGGAAAACAAUGAAUCACCUGCGUUUGUUUGUAAGUUCGUAAGUAUGGUAGAAGAAAAGGUAAAGAAAAUAUCACUCAUAUAACUUCUACUGAACAUGCAACCGUGGAAGGUGAAUAUGUCAUCAAGUGAUGAAGUUCCAAAAAAACUCAUGCUGUCCUGACACCCGUUAAUACAUCUAUCCCUAGCACGUCUAAACAACAAAAUUGUGUUACCCCUAACUAUUAUACUUCAAAUAUCCGGAGCGAUGAAAAUGAUAUUGACUCCGAUAAAAAUCCCAAUUUUCAAUUGUUAAACAAAAAUGCGCACCCACUUAAGGUGGUACCUUCAUCCACAUCGGUAACUUCAUUCAUCCCCAGCAGCAGCAGCUCCAGUUAAUCGGAUAUCGAAGAUAAUUAAGCAAGUAUGCAUGGAUGGUGUUAUGGUUCCUGAAACUGGUACUGAGAUCGAAAAAAGGGCAGAAAGAAGGUACGCAAACCAGCAACCUGGAGGUCGAAAAUCGCAAAACAAUUAAGAAAUUCUGGCAAAGCCUACCCGCCCCUCUCAAAAUCUAAGAAACUAAUGCUACCAAGAAAGGUUGGACCACCCAGUGGAGACAAAUGUCACCUAGAAUGCAAAGAUAAUGUGGACGAGAUGUCAAGACAAUAGGUCAUUGACGAAUAUGUGGCACUCGGCGAUCUUGAAAAGCAAGAGAAUUCAUAGUACGCCACUCGCAACAAAUAAAGCCUAAAUAUCAAUACUCAAGUACGCAAAAUUUUAGAGCUCUCAACAAUGCAUUUUACUUUGAGAUUAAUAGAUCCAAAAUACAAAUAUGCAAGCCAUUCUUCAAAUCUUUUCUUGAUUCGAAGAAUAAAGCGAUAAAAACAGCACUUUAGAAGAAAACAGACAUUUCUAGGUGUCAUUUUUAGUAGUUUUUUUAGAUUAAAUCUAACUUUAAAUGUGAUAACUUAUUACUGAGUGUUAUGUUAGGAGUGUUUUUUUAUUUUUCAAGAAUAAGCAUUAAGAUGUAACUGUAAUAAUUAGUAAUUCUCUAAUUGUAAGACAAACAUGAUUGUUAUGAUUCAGAUGUGAAUUUAAAUGUUUUUUCUUGUUUGCAAUAUAUUUUCUUUUCUUAAGAGAUAUUAUGAUCCAGUUGGGUUUUUGUGACUGACAUAAGUUAAUGCUACCAACAAUAAUAAUUGUACUAAUGAAUAAUAUUGAUUGACUGCAGUAGCUUUUUAUUGUUAUCAACAAAUAUUCUUUUACUCUUGGUCAUAGCACACUCUGCCAAUUGGACUUAUAAAUAAUUCAAAAAGCCAUUUCGUUCUAAAUGAAUAAUUCCUCUUCAAAAGAGAGGCAACUACAAACUUAAUUCACCAACACAGGCUCAACUCAAGUUAGUAUAACAAAUAUACAUACAUUGAUAAGCAAAA
rnacentral:lncRNA from 1 species